UGGUAGAUGCACCUUAAUAAAUUACAGCCCUUAGCUUAACGCUAUGGGCUUUUUUAU
rnacentral:sRNA from 1 species